rnacentral:misc_RNA from 1 species
UUUCCGUUGGUGAACCAGCGGAGGGAUCAUUACCGAGUUUACAACUCCCAAACCCCAUGUGAACCUUACCAAACGUUGCUUCGGCGGGAUGCCCCGGGCGCGGGCCGCAAGGCCUCAGCCCCGGAACCAGGCGCCCGCCGGAGGCCCAAACCAAACUCCUGUUUUUGUAGAAUCUUCUGAGUGGCCUUUUAGGCAAAAAAUGAAUCAAAACUUUCAACAACGGAUCUCUUGGUUCUG